GAUGAAGAACGUAGCGAAAUGCGAUAAGUAAUGUGAAUUGCAGAAUUCAGUGAAUCAUCGAAUCUUUGAACGCACCUUGCGCCCUUUGGCCAUUCCGAAGGGCAUGCCUGUUUGAGUAUCAUGAACACCUCAACUCUCAUGGCUCGCCAUGAUGAGCUUGGACUUUGGGGGUCUUGCUGGCCUGUGGUCGGCUCCUCUCAAAUGGAUCAGCUUGCCAGUGUUUGGUGGCAUCACAGAUGUGAUAACUAUCUGCGCUUGUGGUUUUCCAUCAGAUAACCUUCAGUGAUGGAGGUUCGCUGGAGCUCAUAAACGUCUCCCCUAAGCGGGGACAGCCCUUUGAAUGUUUGAUCUCAAAUCAGGUAGGACUACCCGCUGAACUUAAGCAUAUCAAUAAGCGGAGGA
rnacentral:misc_RNA from 1 species